ensembl:miRNA
GGAGAGAUCUGAUCAUCCUCCGGGUCAGAGGGAGUGUACCAACACCCAGUGAUGGAGAGGUCUGAUCAUCCUCC